rnacentral:rRNA from 1 species
GAUGAACGCUGGCGGCGUGCCUAAUACAUGCAAGUCGAGCGAACGGACGAGAAGCUUGCUGCUCUGAUGUUAGCGGCGGACGGGUGAGUAACACGUGGAUAACCUACCUAUAAGACUGGGAUAACUUCGGGAAACCGGAGCUAAUACCGGAUAAUCUUUUGAACCGCAUGGUUCAAAAGUGAAAGACGGUCUUGCUGUCACUUAUAGAUGGAUCCGCGCUGCAUUAGCUAGUUGGUAAGGUAACGGCUUACCACGGCAACGAUGCAUAGCCGACCUGAGAGGGGGAUCGGCGACACUGGAACUGAGACACGGUCCAGACUACUACGGGAGGCAGCAGUAGGGAAUCGGACGCAAUGGGCGAAAGCAUGACGGAGCAACGCCGAGUGAGUGAUGAAGGUCUUCGGAUCGUAAAAAUCUGUUAUUAGGGAAGAACAUAUGUGUAAGUAAAUGUGCACAUAUUGACGGUACCUAAUCAGAAAGCCACGGCUAACUACGUG